rnacentral:lncRNA from 1 species
GCUGGCCUUUGCUUCAAAUGCAAUUCUGCACCUGCCUCUAAGUAAAGCUCUAAGUAAAGGUAGGUAGGAACAGGGAGAAACAUUACCUUCUGCACACCUGUGGGCUUUUUGAAAUAAAAUCUGCCAUUAGAUCCACAAGCUCAUCAGAAGUCCUUGCCCCAGCCCUAAAAUUGUUGGGCUGCCUCCAUAAUAAAAAAUACAUGGCAAGGAAAAGCAAAAAAAAAAAAAAAAUAAAAGAAAAAUGACAUUAUUCUCAAAUUAUCCUCAAAUUUCAAAUGAUGAAUGAAGUCCUUCAAGUACAUGACUUACCCAAAGUUAUAUAGAAAAGUCUGUGCCAGAGCCAUGCAACACUUCAGGUGAAGAAUGCCAAGGCCAGACUGGGUCUUCACACUGACUUAUCCACAGUCUAAAGGCACUGAGGAUCCAAUGAGCUGUGGGAAGCUCCUGGGGAUGAACAUAUGGAAGAAUGAAACCAGGUGGAAACAGUAAAUGGAAAGAUGUUCUCACAAUUAGGGUUGUCUGAAAUAAGCCCAGAGCUGGGGAAGGAGACCAAGACAGAAAAUAAAGCUGAGCCUAAGAAAAAUGGAACAAAAGAGGCUUAGAAAUCAAGAACGUGCUCUGCUAUAAGAGGAAAUUGAAGCAGGAUAUAAGGAUAAAAUGGUUAGAGGAAUUGGUGAGGAAACACUGUAAUUUUGGCAGCUGCAACUUUACUGAAAAGGAAAGGUAGAAAACAGAAGGUGUAAGAUAGACAAGUCUAUUCCCCAGGGAUGAAUGAAGAGGGUGCAAUGGUAUCUUGAGAGAUAUGUGUACAUUCUGUGGGGAAAGACUGAGUCAGAUUUUUUAAGUGCCUGGCUGUGAGGGGAGAAAAUAUCUCCUUGAACCAAGUCUUUGGCAAAAUGGGCAACCAGGAGUGGUCUGUUUAUAAGCAAGUCAUUACAGUCCAUACUACUCUGCUUUUGGGGAGCCUGCAUUACCUGUGGGGUGCUGCAACAACCUCAUAUCCUUUUUGCUUGGGGUCACCUGCUUCCUUCAAGAGUGCGUGCUGGGAGCUGCAGCAGACAGCCACGGCCAGAGAGCCGGAGAAGCGAGCGGGGAGCUUCAGGCAGGUGGGAGUGCAGAAUAAACCCACAGCAGCUCAUGUCUCUCACAGGCAUGGUUUUCCUUCCCAGCCAUCAAUAACAAGCAGUUUUAAUCCCCAAACUUGACAGCUUUUCUACAAUUUCCUUAGGAGUGACUGUGGCUGCUGAGAACUGACACAUCCAUGUGCAGACCACUCUUCCCAGAUUUUAAAUGGCUGUGAAAGGUACAUGACUCUGAGUAUGGCUUUCCAUGCAAGCAAAACCAGCAUAUUUUUCCAAGCAGGAAAAUGGGCAUAGAGAAUGAGUUUCUUUCUCAUUGUACAGAUUUUCAGUCUUACAUAGUGCAGCUUGAAACCGUUACUGUUCCAGUGAGGAAAAUAUGCAGUCAGUUGAACAUUAACUGUUUUGGACACCAUUACUACAAAAAUAAAUAAUCAACCAACUUCAUCUCUGAAUAGAAAACUCUGCAGUGAGAAGACUGAGUGAAUAACAGGCAUGAUUGCUGAGGAAGAGAUGGAAAUAACAGUUUACAGUUCACAGGAUCUUAAUGGAUAAUCAAUGUGGUAAAUUAGGAUGUGGCUGGAAUUACAGAUACAGUAAUUAAAAUUAGCCGUGAAUAAUAGAAGACAGCUCCUCUAGAAUAGAAUAGAAAGUGCUACUAGACAGAAACAGAAUAGUACUGUGAAAAUGCACAGAAAAUUUAAUUUUUAAGAGAAGUUCAAAUUGGCAAGACAUGUGCUUGGUAUCUCCACUGACACUUCACAAGCUUAUAAUAGGUAGCUGUAAUCUAUUGUUGGAGAGGAAUUUAAUUUAAUUGCAUCUCCUCCUUAUGAAAAGUACAUUCUGAAUCACAUUUGAAGUCAGUGCUAAGGUGUCUCUAAAUUACCAUUCAGAGUCUAUUCACUUCAGCUGGCCACAGUUUGACUGUAUUCUCUUCUUUGGUCUAUUGCUCUCUUUUCAAUUGCAGAAACUAUGCUAGGAACAGAAUGGUCAUAAGCUCUGUUGUUCCAGCACAGAAGCUGUUCCCAACCAACGCUGGAGCUGCAUUUUACCUAAUGAGAAAAUUACAAACCCAGAGAAAGGAGAGGGGUUAUCUCUUCUUUCUGUUUCCCUGCAAAACUCCUGCUGCUAGUUGCUUCUAAAAAUGCAAUACAGAAAGUAAGACAUCAGUUUGUUCUGCCAGAAUGAUUCUCAUAUUUUCAAAAUAUUCAAGAAUAAUGUGAUUAUGCUGAGUGGCUGUAAACUGUAAAACUGGCCAAGAAGCCCAUGUGUCAUUAGAUUUCUACCAAAUAUAGAUGUUCAGCUUCAUCAGACUCUAUGAACUGUGUGAUUUCAAGGUGUGUGGACAGUAUGACUGAAACAGUUUUUUGCCAUAUCUGAAGUAGUUUCUCUAUGGUACCAGUGCUGAUCAUGCAAGCUUUAAAGGGUAACAUUUUUCUGCUAGAAUUCCAAGCAUAUAGUUUGAUAUUUUGAUUUUGUGAUUUCCAGCUUUUUGUGGCUUUUAAUGGCUUUUUAGCAAAUGGGAAUAUCAACAGAAGAUUUUUCCUAGAUAUAAGUAUUUGCUUUAGGAGAAGAUCAUACAAAAAAACAGUAUAAGUAAGUUAUCAAGAUAAUACCAAGAAGAUAGGAGCAUACAGCUGUAAUGCAUUAGAAAACAGAAAAAUAAUGGCCAUUACUUUGCAAAAGAUCUUUUAACAUUCUGCAGUAUGCCCCAUUCUAGUUGACACAUGGCCCUCCUUGUGGGCCUGGGACAGACAUUGAGCCCUCUCUGAGGGUACCUGUGCAGGCUCACAAGUGCAUGAGCAUGAUGUGUCACUUGCUAAACCUUCUUAUCAAUCCUAAGACACACCAAAAACCCCAUAUUUAAUAUUACAAACUACUUGAUGACCAAAAAGAGGGUUAAACACGUAGGUGUAGCUAUAGUCUGUAUAUCCUGAUCACUCCUCCUCUCAGACUGAAUCCUCGUAACUCCUCCUCACAAACCAGAUCAGAGGGCAGACAGGCUGUUCUAUCUCUCCACAUUUUCUUCAGCCCAAGUUUAGGUAACAUUAACAAAGAUUUACCUGGGGGUUGUAAAAACCUGUGGGGAUGGGCUCCACUAAACCCCAUGGAAGAGUCAGUGCUGAAGGAUAGGACAGAAAAAUUGAGAUUUGAUAUACGAGCAUGAUUAUGUCUGUGAUAUGUCGUUUUCUGUUCUUUUCUCUAGUACCACAUGUAUUCUGGCAAAUCGUUGGAUUCUGCAGCAGUUUGCUAAUUAUCUGUUGUGUUAUAAACAAUCUUGUUUUGUUGUGCUUUUUUAAAUAUAAUUGAGCUGUUUCUAAUGAUUCACAAUUAAUUACAACAGCUCUAAAUUUUCAAUUUAAAGUAGUUUAAAUUAUUGCCUAGGCUUUGCCCAUAGGCAGAGGCAUGCUAGUAGUACAGUCCUGGUGAAUCAGAUUUAAUAGGCAUUUUGAAACAAGCACAGCUGCAAUUAUGCCCAGAGAAUUUCUGCCAACUUUUUAAUAGUUUAUUUUUUAUUGUAAAAGCAUCUUUUAAGUACCUUUGUUUCUCCCGGGAUGGAAAUUAUUGUUUCAAAGUAUUUCAUGCCAAGUUUUUUACUUAACAUGCUACCUAGGAAUUUAUUUCUUAUUACAGAAAGAUCAUGUUAUAUUUCAAGAAAAUAUAGAGCUAAUACAAGGCAGCAUGCUGGAAAUAGAGGUGUUUAUGUUUGCUGUUAUACAUCCGGUAGUUAUUUUUCUAAUGUUACUCCUGAUAUUUUAAAGUGCUAUGCAAACAUUAAAUGAAUCAUAAAACCUAAGAACUCAUUAUUGCUCUGUCCUUAUUUUAUAAACAGGGAAAAGAGAGCACAGAAGUGCCCUGCCCAUUGCAAUAGGGAAACAAAAUUAGAAUUUCUCUUCCCAUCUCUCAGAUGACUCCUGAAAACGCUUUGUAUUAUGUGUGACCUGGGUAUGAUUUCCAGACCCUACUUUAAGCAAGUAGAUACCUGGAGCAUGACAGAGGACACCGAAGCAACAAAGAUGAUAAAUGUCAAGUAAAAAACCUAAAGUAGAUGUGAAUUCUUUUCCAUGCAGACCAAGUAGGAUGGCAUUUAGUGUACUAAAUUUUAUAGACACAUCUCUAAUGUAAAAAAAUAAAAUUGAAGUACUUAUAGAAUAAUAUGUAUUGUGUGACAUGUUAAUACUGUUAAAGGUUGAGGGUUUUUUAUUUCCUGGUGGUGUGUAUUUCUGUUGGAUUGCUUCAGAGGCGCAAAAUAUAUUUAUUUAGUCAGAAGGACUCCUGCUAAUUGUUCAAUGGCUCUUGCUGUGCUGGAGAGAUUUUGAAUUUAUAUUGUUUCUCUAAAUGCAAAGCACUUCUGAUUCAUUUAACAUUGUUUGGACAGCUGUGAAGAGAAAUAAAAUGGCACAAUAUUGUUUUCCUGUGCUGCUUUUGAAGUGACAUAAUUACUUCAAAUAUUGCCUGAGAUACCCACUGAGACAAUCACAGGACUUAAUUUUAAAUGAAGCAAAAUGUAUCUCAACACUGAAAGCAAAACUGUGCACUGCAAAAUGAUGGAGGAAGUAUUGGAAUAAAGAUCCCUGCUAAGCACUCUGUUAUUUACCUACUUACCAGCCAGAGGUUACAUAUUUUUAGAUAACUGACAAUUUUUAUGUCAGAUAUACUAUACAGUUCCUUAAUUCUGUAACUCUCCUUUACAAAUAACAGCGGAGAUAUUUGUGUGCCAGUGAUAUUGUGAAACAGUGAUUACUGUUUCAAUCUUUCACAGAAGAUGCACUUGUUAUUGUGAACAACAUGCAGUUAUUCCUUCAGAGACAUCAUUUGUAGGUUGAUUGCCUCCUUAACGUCAUGAAGCAGUCUUUUGAUUAAAGAGAGAAAUGAGAAAUUUUAUGCUACUUCCUAAUUUUAAACUUCUCAGUGUAAAAGUGUGUCUUAGCAUUAUUCUUCAUUCAGAACAACUGCUAAUCUCCCCAAACAUAAUCUUCACCUCUGAGGCUGAUCCCCCAGCUCACUUGUCCAGAGGCAAACCUUGUUCUUUCCUUUAUCCAUGCUAGGCUGCAUAAUACCAAGUCCAUCCUUCACUGCUUCUUUCUUCCUCAUACAAAUGCUCUGGUCCCAUUUGCUUUACGAAAACAAAAGCAAAAUCUGUGUGCCUGGACCAGACUGUAAAAGGGUAUUUUGCCACCUAGCAUCAUGGAAGGAGCUGUUCAGUUCACAAAAUUGUUAGGUCCAAGGCAGAGGCUGGGUUCCCAGCCCAAGGCAGGAGGAGAAAAAAGAUGCUCAUGCUGUAUGAAUUAGUUUGGGACCCAUAGCAUGGCUAAAAGUGAGCUCUGGUAAGCUUUGUAUUGGAACUAGCAGUGCCCUUGUAAAGGAGGAACAGCACAGAAUGCUCUCUGAACAAAUGCACCAGCAUAAAUGCAAAGUCUUGGUGAUGAAAUACUGUAAAGCAGCUUUACAUCUUGCAUGUCCUUUACACUUGAGCUUGCCUUGUCUUUUAAGGGUCCCCUGGCAACAUUCAGAGCUUUCUGGUGAGAAAAAGGCUCAGGGCCCAGGAGGCAACUUUGUCAUUUUCAUAGAAAUAAUGGGAGGAAACGAAAACAGAAUCUACGUCAUACCUUCUGGAGUUGUUAUGCUGAGGAAAAAAUCUUGAGGAGCAUUUUGAUUAUUUCUAAUUUAGCAGCUCUAAAGCAAACUAAAGAUUUUGUAUUCACAGCAUGGGAUGAAUGUAUCCAUUUUCCAUAAUAUCCUGUCACAAAGCAGGCAAAAGCAGAUACUUAGAAGAUGAGAAAAAGAAAAGGUCAAAAAUAUAAUGAUGUUUCCUUAGACUAUUUUUCUGGUUCUGGAUAUUCCUUGAGUCCGAAAUGUUGUUUUUUUAAUUAACAGCCCUAAUUGCUUUUGAUGUUUUUUUUUUUCUUCUUUUGAAUUCAUGUAGAUGUUUUGCAUUUGAAAAAUACCUGUAUUUACCUGCAUAAUGUGAAAAAUAAAAUUC